CAGAUGGUUUCAGAGGCUGUGUACGGGAAUACUUUGGCAUAAUCUCCAGGAAAAUCCCACCAGUAACCUGCCCUGGGUUCUCCCUGGAUUCAGGGAGGGCAAAGUACCAGGAUUUUCAGCUGAAAAAUCUAAGAAUAAUUGAACCUGACGAGGCGACACACUCAGGAGACCCAGGUAUAGAAACAGACAGCAGAAUGGCUCCAAAGGUAACUUCGGAGCUGCUUCGGCAGCUGAGACAAGCGAUGAGGAACGUGGAGUAUGUGACAGAACCAAUCCAGGCCUACAUCAUCCCGUCGGGAGAUGCCCACCAGAGUGAGUACAUUGCUCCCUGUGACUGUCGGCGGGCCUUUGUCUCUGGAUUUGAUGGCUCUGCAGGCACAGCCAUCGUCACAGAAGAGCACGCGGCCAUGUGGACUGAUGGGCGCUACUUCCUCCAGGCUGCCAAGCAGAUGGACAGCAACUGGACGCUCAUGAAGAUGGGUCUGAAGGACACACCAACUCAGGAAGACUGGCUGGUGAGUGUACUUCCUGAAGGAUCCAGAGUUGGUGUGGACCCAUUGAUCAUUCCUACAGAUUACUGGAAGAAGAUGGCCAAGGUUCUGAGAAGUGCUGGCCACCACCUCAUUCCUGUCAAGGAGAACCUUGUGGACAAGAUCUGGACAGACCGUCCUGAGCGUCCGUGCAAGCCCCUCAUCACACUGGGCCUGGAUUACACAGGCAUCUCCUGGAAGGACAAGGUUGUAGAUCUUCGGUUGAAAAUGGCCGAGAGGAACGUCGUGUGGUUUGUGGUCACUGCCCUGGAUGAGAUUGCAUGGCUGUUCAAUCUCCGAGGAUCAGAUGUGGAGCACAAUCCAGUAUUUUUCUCCUAUGCGAUCAUAGGACUAGAGACCAUCAUGCUCUUCAUUGAUGGCGACCGCACAGAUGCCCCCAGUGUGAAGGAGCACCUGCUGCUUGACUUGGGCCUGGAAGCUGAAUACAGAAUCCAGGUGCUUCCCUACAAGUCCAUCCUGAGCGAGCUCAAGACUCUGUGCGCCAGCCUCUCCCCGAGGGAGAAGGUGUGGGUCAGCGACAAGGCCAGCUAUGCCGUGAGCGAGGCCAUCCCCAAGGAUCAUCGCUGCUGUAUGCCUUACACCCCCAUCUGCAUCACCAAAGCUGUGAAGAAUUCUGCUGAAUCAGAAGGCAUGAGGAGAGCUCACAUUAAAGAUGCCGUUGCCCUCUGUGAACUCUUUAACUGGCUGGAGAAAGAGGUGCCCAAAGGUGGCGUGACGGAGAUCUCAGCUGCCGACAAAGCUGAGGAAUUCCGCAGGCAGCAGGCUGACUUUGUGGACCUGAGCUUCCCAACAAUUUCCAGUACGGGACCCAACGGCGCCAUCAUUCACUACGCGCCGGUCCCUGAGACGAAUAGGACCUUGUCUCUGGAUGAGGUGUACCUCAUUGACUCGGGUGCUCAGUACAAGGAUGGAACCACAGAUGUGACUCGUACCAUGCAUUUUGGAACCCCUACGGCCUAUGAGAAGGAAUGCUUCACAUGUGUCCUCAAGGGCCACAUAGCUGUGAGUGCAGCUGUUUUCCCGACUGGAACCAAAGGCCACCUUCUUGACUCCUUUGCCCGCUCAGCUUUAUGGGAUUCUGGCUUGGAUUACCUGCAUGGGACGGGACACGGUGUUGGGUCUUUUCUGAAUGUUCAUGAGGGUCCUUGUGGCAUCAGUUAUAAAACAUUCUCUGAUGAGCCCUUGGAGGCCGGCAUGAUUGUCACUGAUGAGCCAGGGUAUUAUGAAGACGGGGCUUUCGGAAUUCGCAUUGAGAAUGUUGUCCUGGUGGUGCCUGUGAAGACCAAGUAUAACUUCAGUAACCGGGGAAGCCUGACCUUUGACCCUCUAACGUUGGUUCCGAUACAGACCAAAAUGAUAGAUGUGGACUCUCUUACAGACAAAGAGUGCGACUGGCUCAACAACUACCACCUGACCUGCAGGGACGUGAUCGGGAAGGAACUGCAAAAACAGGGCCGCCAGGAAGCCCUCGAGUGGCUCAUCAGAGAGACGCAGCCCAUCUCCAAACGGCAUUAAUACCUCCCUGUUUUUGUUUUUUUUUUUUUUGAACGCUCUGGGGAAAGGAAGCAGCCUGGCCCACCCCUGACAUCUUUUCCCUUUCUCUCCUUCUUCCUUACCUUCCCGUUUUACUUUUAGACUCUGAGAAGAACUGAAAGUCUUCUUAUCCUCUUUGAUAUUUUCUUGCAAACACUUGAUCUUUUAUGAAUUUUUAAAAAAUUGUUGAGGAUGAGCCAAGAAUACAUUGCUGCCCCAGAAGGAGGAUCGCCACAAAGCCAAAAGCUUGGUCGGGGGGUGCGCGCCCCGAGCCGCUGCAGGGAGUCCUCUGGCCAGUGAUGGUGAAGCACUGAGCGCUCCGUGACAGUCACGUCCCAGGUGCUAGCCCCGUGUUCACGACCCCCUUCAUGCGCACGAGACUGUAUUUAUGACCAGUGAAUAAAAUCUUUGUUAGAAC